GACGAACGCUGGCGGCGUGCUUAACACAUGCAAGUCGAACGAAAAGCGACGGAAGUUUUCUUGUGUCCAUCUUGGUGGCGGACGGGUGAGUAACGAGUAAUCAACCCUCCAUUCAGGGGGGAACUACGGUAAGAAGGGACUACUACUACCGCAUACGACCUAACCUCGGCAUCGAUGGUAAAUGAUAGGUGGGCUGUACAUGAAAGCUGGCACUGCAGGUGGUGAUUGCGCCGGUUUAGCUAGUUGGCGGGGUAACGGCCCACCAAGGCGAUGAUCAGUAGCCGAACGGAGAGGAUGAUCGGCCACAUUGGAACUGAGACACGGCCCAGACUCCUACGGGAGGCAGCAGUGGGGAAUCUGCGGCAAUGGACGAAAGUCUGACGGAGCAACGCCGCGUGAGUGAUGACGGCCUUCGGUUCGUAAAGCUCUGUUACUCGGGACGAAACGCCUUCUCGCGAAAAGUGGCGUGGGUGACGGUAACCGGUAAAGAAGCCCCGGCUAACUACGGG
rnacentral:rRNA from 1 species